CUCUUCCGAUGUCCCAGAUGGGGUUCAGGGCUUUUGGCAUAAAAACUUGGCAGCUCUGCACAGGAGAAUUGUGAGACAGAUGGAUGAAAUACUGAAUAGUGACAUCCAAGUACUGACCUGGAUGACAAAAGGAAGAAUGGUACUAUGCUAGAAGGACCCAAGUAGAGGGGAUGCGGUUGGAAAUUUCCGACCAAUAUCUUAUUUGCCACUGAUGUGGAAACUGAUGACGGGCAUCACAGCAAACAGCAUCUACAAGUACCUAAAUGAGAACGACCUACUACCAGUGGAACAAAAAGGGUGUAGACAUAAGAGCAGAGGAAUGAAG